GUAGGUGAACCUGCGGAAGGAUCAUUAUUGAAAUAAACCUGAUGGGUUGCUGCUGGCUCUCUCGGGAGCAUGUGCACACUUGUCAUCUUUAUAUCUCCACCUGUGCACCUUUUGUAGAUCUGGAUAUCUUUCUGAAUGCCUGGCAUUCGGGUUUGAGGAUUGACUUCUGUCUUUUCCUUACAUUUCCAGGCCUAUGUUUUCUUCACAUACACCAUUUAUGUUAUAGAAUGUAAUGAAAGGGCCUUUGUGCCUACAAACCUUAUACAACUUUCAGCAACGGAUCUCUUGGCUCUC
rnacentral:misc_RNA from 1 species